rnacentral:tRNA from 1 species
GACGAGGUGAUCGAGCGGUUGAGAUGAUGGACUGCAAAUCCAUUGGGCAUUGCACGCGUGGGUUGGAAUCCCAUCCUCGUCG